UACAGAGGGUGCAAGCGUUGUCCGGAAUCACUGGGCGUAAAGGGCGCGUAGGCGGCCCGAUAAGUAGGGGGUGAAAUCUUGCGGCUCAACCGCAAGGCUGCCUUCUAGACUGUCGGGCUUGAGCACAGUAGAGGCAGGUGGAAUUCCCGGUGUAGCGGUGGAAUGCGUAGAGAUCGGGAAGAACAUCGGUGGCGAAGGCGGCCUGCUGGGCUGUUGCUGACGCUGAGGCGCGACAUCGUGGGGAGCAAACAGG
rnacentral:rRNA from 1 species